UCCUGGUUUCCCAGGCAGUCCCGUCAGAGUGCCUUACUUACGUAAGUAGCAACUGACAGCAAGGGUUGCGCUCGUUACAGGACUUAACCCAACAUCUCACGACACGAGCUGACGACAGCCAUGCAGCACCUGUGCAAUUGUCCCGACCGAAGCCGGGAAGACCGUGUUUCCACAGCUAUCAAGAGCAUGUCAAAUCUAGGUAAGGUUCCUCGCGUAGUGUCGAAUUAAACCACAUGUUCCACCGCUUGUGCGGGCCCCCGUCAAUUUCUUUGAGUUUUAGUCUUGCGACCGUAGUCCCCAGGCGGAUCACUUACCGCGUUAGCUACGAUACUAAUCCUAUAAAUAAGACUAACAUCUAGUGAUCAUCGUUUACAGCGUGGACUAC
rnacentral:misc_RNA from 1 species